rnacentral:rRNA from 1 species
CUUUUAGGAGACCUGCGGAGACAUUAUUGAAUUAAUGUAGAGUUUGGUUGUAGCUGGCUCCUAAUUAAACUUGGGGGCAUGUGCACACCUUUCUCUUUCAUCCCAUACACACCUGUGCACCUGUGAGACAGAUGUUUUGUGGGGGGGAAGGAACUUUAUUGGACCUUCUACUCCCCCUUGACUUCUGUCUACUUAAUUCAUAUAAACUCAAUUUAUUUUAAAACGGAUGUAAUGGAUGUAACACAUCUAAUACUAAGUUUCAACAACGGAUCUCUUGGCUCUCGCAUCGAUGAAGAACGCAGCGAAAUGCGAUAAGUAAUGUGAAUUGCAGAAUUCAGUGAAUCAUCGAAUCUUUGAACGCACCUUGCGCUCCUUGGUAUUCCUUGGAGCAUGCCUGUUUGAGUAUCAUGAAAUCUUCAAAGUCAAACCUUUUGUUAAUUCAAUUGGUUCUGCUUUGGUAUUGGAGGAUUAUUGCAGCUUCACACCUGCUCCUCUUUGUGCAUUAGCUGGAUCUCAGUGUUAUGCUUGGUUCCACUCAGCGUGAUAAGUUAUCUAUCGCUGAGGACACCCUGUUAAAAAGGGGUGGCCAAGGUAAAUGCAGAUGAACCGCUUCUAAUAGUCCAUUGACUUGGACAAUAUCUAAUUUAUGAUCUGAUCUCAAAUCAGGUAGGACUACCCGCUGAACUUAAGCAUAUCAAA